GACGAACGCUGGCGGCGUGCUUAACACAUGCAAGUCGAACGGAAAGGCCCUGCUUUUGUGGGGUGCUCGAGUGGCGAACGGGUGAGUAACACGUGAGUAACCUGCCCUUGACUUUGGGAUAACUUCAGGAAACUGGGGCUAAUACCGGAUAGGAGCUCCUGCUGCAUGGUGGGGGUUGGAAAGUUUCGGCGGUUGGGGAUGGACUCGCGGCUUAUCAGCUUGUUGGUGGGGUAGUGGCUUACCAAGGCUUUGACGGGUAGCCGGCCUGAGAGGGUGGCCGGCCACAUUGGGACUGAGAUACGGCCCAGACUCCUACGGGAGGCAGCAGUGGGGAAUAUUACACAAUGGGCGGAAGCCUGAUGCAGCAACGCCGCGUGCGGGAUGACGGCCUUCGGGUUGUAAACCGCUUUCGCCUGUGACGAAGCGUGAGUGACGGUAAUGGGUAAAGAAGCACCGGCUAACUACGUG
rnacentral:rRNA from 1 species